GCUGCACAUUGUCAAAUACUUUUUUUUACAAAAGUCAGAAAAUUUUUGUGUGUUUUGAGUUUUUUUUUUUUUUUUUAAUUUCUUUUUAAGCAUUUUCUUCUUCUUAUUUUUUUUUCUAAUUUUGGCAAAAUUUUAUUUAUCCCCGGUUGAACAAGGGUGGGGUGUUAUUUACACCGGGGUAGUCAACCAAUCAGAUUGCAGUAUUUUUGCUGCAUAAGAAAUAAUACUUUUAUCACUAAACAGAAGAUUGUUUUGUGGAUUUUUUUUAUCAAUAUCUUGAAUCUUUUAUCACUUUUUGAUACAUAUAAUACAAAAAGUAUCUAUCAAAUUUUAAUAAUAAUAGAUAUAUUUCUUAUAUAAGGUUAAACAAUUUCAGUGAUUUUGUUGGUUGUUGCACCAUUAAAAAGAUAGUUAUAUAACCAUUUUAUGUAACCAUCAAACCUAUGUAGUUUUUAUUUAUAGGAAUUUAGGAGAACUAAGUCCUUUUUACACAAGUAUUUUUGGGACCCUUUAAAGCUUGCUGUUUGGUGUGAGCCUAUGCUCCGUGUUGUAGACAGUACCUUGACAUAUAAUGGUUUACUUUUAUAAACUGUGACUUGGAUGGAGAGCUGCCUCAAAGGCACUCAUACAUUAUAUUCCCAAAUCUAUUCAUACACAAAUUAUUGUCCUGAAACAAGAACAAUGUUUGUUUUUGGUGCCUUAAUCCUUAGCAGUAUGGACAAAUACCCCCCAAAAUCAAUCACAACCUUCCUUUUGUGGUAUGGAAUAUUGUGGUACAAUUU
rnacentral:lncRNA from 1 species